GGGCGUAAAGCGUACGCAGGCGGUUGAUUAAGCGAGAUGUGAAAGCCCCGGGCUUCAACCUGGGAACUGCAUUUCGAACUGGUCAACUAGAGUGUGAUAGAGGGUGGUAGAAUUUCAGGUGUAGCGGUGAAAUGCGUAGAGAUCUGAAGGAAUACCGAUGGCGAAGGCAGCCACCUGGGUCAACACUGACGCUCAUGUACGAAAGCGUGGGGAGCAAACAGGAUUAGAUC
rnacentral:rRNA from 1 species